GACGAACGCUGGCGGCGUGCUUAACACAUGCAAGUCGAACGGAAAGGCCCUGCUUUUGUGGGGUGCUCGAGUGGCGAACGGGUGAGUAACACGUGAGUAACAUGCCCUUGACUUUUGGAUAACUUCAGGAAACUGGGGCUAAUACCGGAUAGGAGCUCCUGCUGCAUGGUGGGGGUUGGAAAGUUUCGGCGGUUGGGGAUGGACUCGCGGCUUAUCAGCUUGUUGGUGGGGUUGUGGCUUUCAAAGGCUUUGAAGGGUAGCCGGCCUGGGAGGGUGACCGGCCACAUUGGGACUAAGAUACGGCCCAGACUCCUACGUUAGGCAGCAGUGGGGAAUAUUGCACAAUGGGCGGAAGCCUGAUGCAGCAACGCCGCGUGCGGGAUGACGUCCUUCUGGUUAUAAACCGCUUUCUCCUGUGACGAAGCGUGAGUGACGGUAAUGGGUAAAGAAGCACCGGCUAACUACGUG
rnacentral:rRNA from 1 species